GAGUUUGAUCAUGGCUCAGGAUGAACGCUGGCGGCGUGCUUAACACAUGCAAGUCGAACGAACCUUCGGGUUAGUGGCGGACGGGUGAGUAACGCGUGGGAAUCUGCCCUCAGGAGGGGGAUAACGGUUGGAAACGACCGCUAAUACCCCAUAUGCCGAGAGGUGAAAUGAAUUUCGCCUGAGGAUGAGCCCGCGUCUGAUUAGCUUGUUGGUGAGGUAAAAGCUCACCAAGGCUUCGAUCAGUAGCUGGUCUGAGAGGAUGAUCAGCCACACUGGGACUGAGACACGGCCCAGACUCCUACGGGAGGCAGCAGUGGGGAAUUUUCCGCAAUGGACGAAAGUCUGACGGAGCAACGCCGCGUGAGGGACGAAGGCCUCUGGGCUGUAAACCUCUUUUCUCAAGGAAGAAGAUAUGACGGUACUUGAGGAAUAAGCCACGGCUAAUUCCGUGCCAGCAGCCGCGGUAAUACGGGAGUGGCAGGCGUUAUCCGGAAUUAUUGGGCGUAAAGCGUCCGCAGGCGGCCUUUCAAGUCUGCUGUUAAAGCGUGGAGCUUAACUCCAUCAUGGCAGUGGAAACUGAUUGGCUUGAGUAUGGUAGGGGUAGAGGGAAUUCCCGGUGUAGCGGUGAAAUGCGUAGAUAUCGGGAAGAACACCAGUGGCGAAGGCGCUCUACUGGGCCAUUACUGACGCUCAUGGACGAAAGCCAGGGGAGCGAAAGGGAUUAGAUACCCCUGUAGUCCUGGCCGUAAACGAUGAACACUAGGUGUCGGGGGAAUCGACCCCUUCGGUGUCGUAGCUAACGCGUUAAGUGUUCCGCCUGGGGAGUACGCACGCAAGUGUGAAACUCAAAGGAAUUGACGGGGGCCCGCACAAGCGGUGGAGUAUGUGGUUUAAUUCGAUGCAACGCGAAGAACCUUACCAGGGCUUGACAUCCUGCGAACCUUUAAGAAAUUAGAGGGUGCCUUCGGGAACGCAGUGACAGGUGGUGCAUGGCUGUCGUCAGCUCGUGUCGUGAGAUGUUGGGUUAAGUCCCGCAACGAGCGCAACCCACGUUUUUAGUUGCCAGCAUUUAGUUGGGCACUCUGGAAAGACCGCCGGUGAUAAACCGGAGGAAGGUGUGGAUGACGUCAAGUCAUCAUGCCCCUUACGACCUGGGCUACACACGUACUACAAUGCUACGGACAAAGGGCAGCAAACUCGCGAGAGCUAGCAAAUCCCAUAAACCGUGGCUCCGUUCAGAUCGUAGGCUGCAACUCGCCUACGUGAAGUAGGAAUCGCUAGUAAUCGCAGGUCAGCAUACUGCGGUGAAUACGUUCCCGGGCCUUGUACACACCGCCCGUCACACCAUGGAAGUUGGCCACGCCCGAAGUCGUUACUUUAACCCUUGUGGAGAAGGACGCCGAAGGUGGGGCUGAUGACUGGGGUGAAGUCGUAACAAGGUAACC
rnacentral:rRNA from 1 species